CUUCUGUCUGUGGGGAUUAUUAUUGUUUUUCUGUGGGCUGACAGGAGUUAUUCCCCCUCCUCCUCCCCACCUCCCUCUGGCCCCAGCUUUGCAUAACUCUCCUGCUGUCCCUUCCUCCUUGCACUUUGCCCUCAGCCCGGUGGUCUGUGGCGUGAUGGAGUAAAAUUGUGAAGGACUCUUUAUUUUUUUUGUUUAGUGAAGGAGCUGUAUCAUAGACAAGCAGGCUGCCUAAUGUUGUAUAUUCUUACAUAUCUAUCUAUCUAUCUAUCUAUCUAUGUAUAUAUACUUUUUUUUUUCUUUUCCUCACAGUGCUGCAGUAGGGUUCAGUGCUCUUAUAUGCCCUAUGGCACAGCUCUCUCUAGCAAACCCUGGAGUGAAGCUGCUAUCAGUGUGUGGAGACUUGAGUGCCACCGACAGUCUGUUGUCUCUUCAUGUUCAGAGAGUUAUGCAGAGGGACAGGAGUGACUCAGUAAUAGGAACUAUUAGUUGCACUGAGGCAAAACCAGGUGAAGUUAUGACUUGGUUACUCUGUGACCUUGGGUCACUGUUCUGCAUCACUCCUCUGUUUGCUUAUGAAUUAGAAAUAGUAAUGCUUUCCAAAAACACACUGUGAAUAAACACUAACGAGCCUGAAAUGCUUAUCAGCUGUAGUAAUAACAGGUUGAUAGUUACGUUGUUUCUCUAUAAUAGCAUGGACAGUGCAGCCUGGAUUGUUUUGCUUGCAAGUUCUUCCUGUGGUAGUAACUUUGCAUAGAAGUAGACUCUUGCUUUAAAAGACAUUUUAUAACUUGUGAUACUGUGUGAUGUGCAAUGUUACAAUCAUAGAAUCGUGGAAUGGCUUAAGCUGGAAGGGACCUUAAAGAUAUUGAGUUCCAACCCCCUGCUGCAGGCAGCGUUAUGUCAUAUUUCAUAUUCUUAUGCAGAAAGUUCUCUAAUGAGCUUUUAAAUGAUCACCAUUCCACAGUGCAAAUAGUGUUUGUUUUUCCUCCUGUUUUCUUAAAACAACACCAGUACUGCUAAGAAAUCUUGUGAAUUUCUAACGUGUCUCUGGGCAAGGUGAUAGAUUGAGGCUUUUGAUAUAGAAUUGGAAGAGAGAUAUUCCAGUAUAUCUGUUCACAUCUUGGCAUGAUCAAGAAAUUACUUGGAACUGGUUUGUAGCUCACUGUGCCACCACGCAGCUAUACUUGCCAGGGUUGAGUAGUAGUGUUUACAAGGUGCUGUCUUGAGGUCCCUCAAUAUUUGCAAGAAAAUACUGAAGUGGGUGACAGUAAGUUCAUUACAACAAGCUGAGCAGUUGAGGAAACAGUAUUUUUAUUCUCACAUUAUAGGGUGAUCUGUGUAGAAAAUCAAAUGGCUUAAGUGUGCCAUGGGCAAACACAUUCACUGGAGGAAUCUGAAAACUCUGUAGGAGUUGCCUGGAGUGGUUCGUGCUGCUCUCAAGAGCAGUGCUGCCACUGCCAUAGCAGGUGAGCUGGAGCUGCUGCUCUCUGGAGUGCUGGGCAGAGUCAGCUGAGUUUUCCUCUGCAGUUUUGCUUUAUGUAAAUUGAAGCAGAUAGCUUGCUUGUUUAAUGUUCUUUGAUUUUGUUUUUUUCUUUUUUGUUUUUUUCUGAUCUAUUCUGGAACGAUACACCACAGAGGAGCACUGACUGCCUGGUAUCUUUAAGUUUUGCUUCUGAGAGUAAUUUGUUCUGUAGUUUAUCACUUGUCUGCUCAAGUUUGUUUGGAACUUCCAUAAUGCUAAAUAGGACAACUGUUCUGUGUGAGGAGGAGGUGAGCACAACAGAAGACUUUUGUCUUCGGUUUUAACAACAAAACUGAAAGUUGCUCUGGCAAAAUGGCAAUUCAUUGUUAAUUCAUGAGAUGUAGGUGCCCUGGAAAAAUCAAAUACCAGUUUCAUAGCUACCCUUAGGCAUCUCUAAUUUAUGCAGGCAGGGCUCGCUGAGUAACUACUGAGUCUCUUUGACCUUAGUAAGUUUGCAGAGGUCAUAUUUUAAGACAGAUAAGUUAUGCUUGAACUAUUUUCUCAGUAAGUACUAGGAGCAAGUGUUUGUGUACAUAAUUACGUGCUUUUUUCCAAUCCUUCAUUACAUUUUCUGUUUUUCUUUAGAUUCUGGCUUGUAAGUACUACAGUAAAUCCUAGAGUCUCUUUUGUUUGUGUUUUUUCUUAACCUGUCAUCUUAAUAUUAGUAAGAAAUGUGAGUUCUUGAGGACAGCUUCUUUUUUGGGGUCUCAGUAAAACAGUAGAAACAAAGGUUUCACAGACUUCUAGAAAGACAGUUGUAGGAUCAGGGGAACUCGGGGUGUGGGAAGCCAGAACAACCCAAACGUGUGUGAGUGACAUCAGCAUUUUUCUGAGCCAUUUAUGCUGCUCACUUCUGUCGGUUCCCAGCAGUGCCUGUGUCUUAUGUAAGCUCACACUGUACAUCCCGUCCUGCUGUUCUCAUGCAUGAAAAUCAUUGGCGUUAUCUUACUGUACAUUUUGAGAGCUGAGCAGUUACUGGCUACUUGUUGUCUCAAAUGUCUGCAUGCAAGUCUCUCACAAGCAUGCUGGAGAGAGCUAUGCCAAGAGCAUGGUGCUGUCCUCCUAGGAGACAUCAGAGGGAUAACUUGGAGUGAACGCAGCUCGUCCUCUGCUCGCUCUUGUAAUAGGCACUAUGAAGUAAUGCAGCUAAGAGGUAAUUGUACUGCUGCAGACAGAAGUCCUGAUCUGUAUCACGUGCAGAUGGACCACUAAUGCAGUUUCGAUGGCUGGUGAUAAAAACUGACAUAGAAAACAAAGGACAAUGGUUUCAACAGAGGCUUUAAUAACGUUAGGACUGGAAAAGAGAGGCUUUUAUAUACUCUUACUGUGCACUGCUUGUUACAGGUCUUGGAAGGAAACUGUGCCUUCAGGUGGACUGAUGCUUUACCCUUGUUCCUGUAGUUAGCAUUUAGUGAUGCAUAAUGAAGGUACUGUCACUGGAUGGGUGAAAUUGGAGCAAACCUUCCAAUACAAGGCUUCAGAAACAAACGUUCCCUCUAUUUUUUUUCUUGCUAAAUCUAUCUGUAAUCAUCAGUCAUAAAAUCCUGCAGUAAUGUGAUAUCUGUUAAUGCAAAAUAAGUUGGCCACCUUCUCUAAAUGCUACCCAGUGCUUCAGUUACGAAGCAAAGCUACCUCUACUUCUUCAAUACUCCAGUGUCUUCUGUUUCUGCUCCUCUGCUCUCAUGAAUGCGCUUGUGUGGCACCGUGGCUUGUUUGGGGGAGCUGUGUUUGCAGGUCUGUAGAGUUUGCUACAAGCACUGAUGGGAAAGGCUGACAGGCAGGAGUGCACCUGGGUAGGAGUGCGUUUGUGGAAAGGCCUUGAAAGAUUCCUUCAUUCCUUCCUUGUGGCUUUCCAGUGUGAUCCGUUCCGUGCUGCAUGAAACAAUUCCUCAUUGUGCUGGAGUGUAAGACUUAACAAGGAAGCUGGCCAUCUGAAGAGGAACAGGUGCAAUGCUCUGAAGCUUAGAAGCGAAAUAAAUUCCUGAGUGAGCAGAUCUUGCAAAGUUUAAGGAGUUAGAUAGCAAAACUUGCUCUCCUUUGGAAUUUGUUUGAAAUGUAGUGACUGAAGAAGGAGCAAUUCUGCAGUUAUGUUUAUUCACUGUAUGUAUCAGUGACCUGGAAGAAGUGUGCAGGAAGGGGCUAAAGCAAAACUGCUUCUGAGAUGGCACAAAGUGUCUGCCUCCAACACACAGGAGGAGGAGUGGGCAGAUGGCAGUCAGAACAAAACAGGGAGUUCAGUAACUUGGGACACAGCAGUGAGCUGCUCUAACUGGAGAACACUCUUCUAACCCUAAAGGGGAAUUGCUUUGUCUAAGGUAGCACUUAAUGAGCAGAAGCACAACCCAUCUUGCAGUUCAAAACUUACUUGGUACACGUGAAGUUGCUAUGCUUGAAAUUACUCUUUGAUAAUAUCAGUUUGCUCCUUGUGUACUGUCAUCUUAAGAUACCUCAGUCUGAGGUGAAGAGUUCUACUGCAUGAGGAGGUUGAGGGAAUUAAGGCUGUAUUUCUGCACAACUGAAGGCUAGAAAGAUAAAGGAAAAAAGAUUAACAUAUUCACAAGGGGUGCUUUAGAUAAGAUUUCUUCCUGUCUGAGGACACACUGAAUCCUGUGGGAAUGAGGCAGCUAUACUACUAAAACACACUUCAAUUCUAAUGUUUCAUACUGAAUCAUUGCUAUAAGUGGUAUUAGUGGAAUUUAUAAAAACAUUAGCAUUUACAUAAAGAAUAUAGGAAUAAGUUCACCUAAAACAUCCUUUUGCUGUGUAAGAGCUGUGUGGAGAAUGAACGAACGCUUGAAGCUAAACGUGAGUAUAAUAAAUCAAAAUGCCAAAUGAAGCUCAGAGGACUUCAGCUAUUCACUUCAUUGUUUCCUUUGCAGAUACAGCACAGCUCAGCCAAAUGCAGAGUUGUCAUUGUUCUGAUGUUCAAAGUAAUUCUAAAUGUUCUUCAGGAUGGAACUUUUCUCUUUGCAUUGUCUUAUACUGUUUAUUAAUUGUUCAGUGCAUUAUACUCAGCAUUUUUAUAAGCAGAAGUUAUGGUUUAAGUCCUCAAUUCGGAGUAAUUGGUGAGGUGCAUUGUGAGCUGUUGAUGACCUACAGAAAAGGCUCAAAUCUGUACCUUCUGGAAACUGCUGUUUUCCAAAGCUGAUGCUUGGCAACAGAAGAUGCCCUGCUGACCCUCUGCGGCUUGGCAGAAAGCGUUCCUGAGUGUGUGAGCUUCCAAAGCUUAUAUCCCAGGGUACAGCCUGCUCAGGGCUGCUGGCUGGCACAGUGCAUUUCCAUCAGUGUAAAAUGGAGGUCACAGUUCAGUAAAGUAUAAUUUGGAAAAAGAUGGUAAAAAGUAGAACAGAUUUAAAUGCCAAAACUGAGGUUUUUAAGCAAGUGAUGAACUGUCUAGAUAUUGAGCUGCUGUUACCUGGGAUUUCUGAGAUGUAGCUCAGUUGUUGGACCUGAAGAGGCCAUGUUUGCAGCAAUAGUCUCAUGUCAGCUUUAGCUUUGAUUAUCUUUUGAUUAAGUAUUACAAGAUUGCUGUGAAUUCUCCAUCGCAGUUUCUUAUGUGUUUCCUUUGUUUUGUACUUACUCUGUGGUCACAAAAGCUGCUUAUUGUUCAUGGCUUUUCCUAAAGAUGGGUAUCUUUGUGCCUAAUCACAGAAUGGCCCGGGUUGGAAGGGACCUCAAGGAUCAUGCAUCUCCAACCCCCCUGCCACAGGCAAGGCCACCAACCUCCAUAUCUGAUAGACCAGGCUGCCCAGGGCCCCAUCCAUCCUGGCCUUUAACACCGCUAGGGAUGGGGCAUCUGAAGUGCCUAAAGGCUGUUGCUUUUUCUUUCUAUCCAUAUUUACUCUGCUGAGUGGUCCGUAUUUAACAUGCAUCAUUGCUUUGAGCAUAUUCUUACAACGUGUUCAUUUACACUAGUGUUAUGUGUUCUGCUAACCUCAUGUUUUCUGAGAGUUUUUUCAGAUAUUGAUAUAAACCACAUAUAUAUUAUUAGCACUGCUGCUAAAACUUGAUAACUGAUCUGUGCUUGUGAAUGAACAUAUUAUUUUCAUUGUUUCCUCUCAAUCUACCGCUUUUGAAGGUUUGGUUAAAUAAUUAUUUUGGAGAUUUCCAAGAAUCAUAGAAUUGGUUGGGUUGAAAGGGACCUCAAGGAUC